rnacentral:rRNA from 1 species
GAUGAACGCUGGCGGCGUGCCUAAUACAUGCCAGUAGAACGCUGAAGCUUGGUGCUUGCACCGAGCGGAUGAGUUGCGAACGGGUGAGUAACGCGUAGGUAACCUGCCUCUUAGCGGGGGAUAACUAUUGGAAACGAUAGCUAAUACCGCAUAAAAGUCGAUAUCGCAUGAUAUUGAUUUGAAAGGUGCAAAUGCAUCACUAAGAGAUGGACCUGCGUUGUAUUAGCUAGUUGGUGAGGUAACGGCUCACCAAGGCGACGAUACAUAGCCGACCUGAGAGGGUGAUCGGCCACACUGGGACUGAGACACGGCCCAGACUCCUACGGGAGGCAGCAGUAGGGAAUCUUCGGCAAUGGGGGCAACCCUGACCGAGCAACGCCGCGUGAGUGAAGAAGGGUUUCGGAUCGUAAAGCUCUGUUGUAAGAGAAGAACGAGUGUGAGAGUGGAAAGUUCACACUGUGACGGUAACUUACCAGAAAGGGACGGCUAACUACGUG